UACGAAGGGGGCUAGCGUUGCUCGGAAUUACUGGGCGUAAAGGGCGCGUAGGCGGCACUGUUAGUCAGGCGUGAAAUUCCUGGGCUCAACCUGGGGACUGCGCUUGAUACGGCAGAGCUAGAGGAUGGAAGAGGCUCGCGGAAUUCCCAGUGUAGAGGUGAAAUUCGUAGAUAUUCGGAAGAACACCAGUGGCGAAGGCGGCUCACUGGCCCGGUACUGACGCUGAGGUGCGAAAGCGUGGGGAGCAAACAGG
rnacentral:rRNA from 1 species